GGUACUUGAAUGGAGGUUGUCCAUGGUGUGUUCAUUUUAUUUAUGAUGAGUAUUACAUGGCCAAUCUCCUUUCAGUACUAAAUUCUUCUUGGG
ensembl:miRNA MIR496 microRNA 496